rnacentral:tRNA from 1 species
GGGGUCGUAGUUAAAAAUAACAUUUAAUUUGCAAUUAAAAAGUGCUUCCAUAAAGCCUUCCUCA